rnacentral:lncRNA from 1 species
GGCUUGUACACUCCACCGUCUAAAAUAAAUCUAGCCAAAAGGUGGUUGAGAGACAUUUUGUGGUGCCACUAUUUUCUUCCAGGUUUAGGCGCUUUGACUCUACUAACUUUAGCUAGGUUUGUAUCAUCUGAUUUUGCACGCUACCUUUCAUUAGUGUAUUUGCAAGCUAUAGAGAAUUGCCGAUCAACAUGUUAAAGUCGCAUCCUCUUAUACUUUGCUGCUUAUUGCUAUGUUCACUUCAGUAAGGUGUAAUUUGGUGUUCUUUUAUUUCUUCUGCACAGAUGCUAUUCAGUGCAACCUUCAUGUGCACCUUGACUUCUAUGUAUGAUCUUGUACAUAAUUUGCUCUUUUUUAUUAAUGUGUGGUUUUAUCGGUUAAUUCCCUCUCUUUUUACUUUUCAUGUCAGGUGCUACAUGUGCUUUCUGUAAUGGCAAGGAUAAAUUACUACCCUAUUUCGGUACAAUGUAGAUCAGAGAUUCAUGUCCUAAAAUGAUUUGCUCGGCUUCAUGCAAUUGAACUGUUAUCGCAUAUUUACGAGCCCCUGGCAAGCCGGCAUUUAGGUCUCCGACUAAAGCUCCUCCUCACCACCACGGGUGC